GACGAACGCUGGCGGCGUACUUAACACAUGCAAGUCGAACGGAAAGGCCCUGCUUUUGUGGGGUGCUCGAGUGGCGAACGGGUGAGUAACACGUGAGUAACCUGCCCUUGACUUUGGGAUAACUUCAGGAAACUGGGGCUAAUACCGGAUAGGAGCUCCUGCUGCAUGGUGGGGGUUGGAAAGUUUCGGCGGUUGGGGAUGGACUCGCGGCUUAUCAGCUUGUUGGUGGGGUAGUGGCUUACCAAGGCUUGGACGGGUAGCCGGCCUGGGAGGGUGACCGGCCACAUUGGGACUGGGAUACGGCCCAGACUCCUACGGGAGGCAGCAGUGGGGAAUAUUGCACAAUGGGCGGAAGCCUGAUGCAGCAACGCCGGGUGCGGGAUGACGGCCUUCGGGUUGUAAACCGCUUUCGCCUGUGACGAAGCGUGAGUGACGGUAAUGGGUAAAGAAGCACCGGCUAACUACGUG
rnacentral:rRNA from 1 species